rnacentral:rRNA from 1 species
CAAAAACAUAGCUCUUUGAACAUAUAAAGAGUCCCGCCUGCCCAGUGGCCCAAAGCUAAACGGCCGCGGUAUCUUGACCGUGCAAAGGUAGCAUAAUCAUUUGUCUUUUAAAUGGAGACUUGUAUGAACGGCAAAACCUUUUUCAACUGUCUCCCCUCCUACCCUUCUAAAUUUCUUUCUGCGUGAAGAAGCGCAGAUAUUCCAGAAAGACGAGAAGACCCUGUCGAGCUUCAGCCAACAAGUAAACGGAAUAAACUACAUAAACCGACAUUACUAAAAGGCUUUGGUUGGGGCAACCAUGGAGAAAACAUAACCUCCAGACCAAAUAAAAGAGAACUCCUCAUUAUUUCCAUCCUAGAGAACCAGAAACUGGUAAACGGAAAAAGUUACCGCAGGGAUAACAGCGUCAUCUCCUCUGAGAGUCCUUAUUGACGAGGGGGUUUGCGACCUCGAUGUUGGAUUAGGGGCCCCUUAGGGUGCAGAAGCUCUAAACGGUUAGACUGUC